GGUGAAGUCGAAUGAUGGAAGGGAAUAUGGAAUUCCUGGUGUAGCGGUGAAAUGCGCAGAUAUCAGGAGGAACACCGAUGGCGAAGGCAGGUCUCUGGGCAUUAACUGACGCUGAGGAGCGAAAGCAUGGGGAGCGAACAGGAUUAGAUACCCUGGUAGUCCAUGCCGUAAACGUUGGGCACUAGGUGUGGGGGACAUUCCACGUUUUCCGCGCCGUAGCUAACGCAUUAAGUGCCCCGCCUGGGGAGUACGGCCGCAAGGCUAAAACUCAAAGGAAUUGACGGGGGCCCGCACAAGCGGCGGAGCAUGCGGAUUAAUUCGAUGCAACGCGAAGAACCUUACCAAGGCUUGACAUGAACCGGUAACGCCUGGAGACAGGUGCCCCGCUUGCGGUCGGUUUACAGGUGGUGCAUGGUUGUCGUCAGCUCGUGUCGUGAGAUGUUGGGUUAAGUCCCGCAACGAGCGCAACCCUCGUUCUAUGUUGCCAGCACGUGAUGGUGGGGACUCAUAAGAGACUGCCGGGGUCAACUCGGAGGAAGGUGGGGACGACGUCAAAUCAUCAUGCCCCUUAUGUCUUGGGCUUCACGCAUGCUACAAUGGCCGGUACAAAGGGUUGCGAUACUGUGAGGUGGAGCUAAUCCCAAAAAGCCGGUCUCAGUUCUGAUUGGGGUCUGCAACUCGACCCCAUGAAGUCUGAGUCGCUAGUAAUCGCAGAUCAGCAACGCUGCGGUGAAUACGUUCCCGGGCCUUGUACACACCGCCCGUCAAGUCACGAAAGUUGGUAACACCCGAAGCCGGUGGCCUAACCCCUUGUGGAGGAGCUGUCGA
rnacentral:rRNA from 1 species